AGUGGCGCACGGGUGAGUAAUAUAUGGACAAUCUGCCUUCAGGAAUGGGAUAACCCUCCGAAAGGAGAGCUAAUACCGUAUGUGAUUAUAGAUUCACAUGUUUUUAUAAUUAAAGAUGGCCUCUAUUUAUAAGCUAUUACCUGGAAAUGAGUCCAUAUCCUAUUAGUUAGUUGGUGGGGUAACGGCCUACCAAGACGAUGAUGGGUAGCUGGUCUGAGAGGAUGAACAGCCACACUGGAACUGAGACACGGUCCAGACUCCUACGGGAGGCAGCAGUGAGGAAUUUUGCGCAAUGGGGGAAACCCUGACGCAGCGACGCCGCGUGGGUGAUGAAGGUUUUAGGAUCGUAAAGCCCUUUCGUGUGGGAAGAACAAGAGGUAGGUAAAUAAUCUGCCUUGAUGACGGUACCACAAUAAGAAGCCUCGGCUAACUACGUGCCAGCAGCCGCGGUAAUACGUAUGAGGCGAGCGUUAUUCGGAAUUACUGGGCGUAAAGGGUGUGUAGGUGGUUAGAUAAGUCAGGUGUGAAAACUCGGGGCUUAACCUCGCGAUUGCAUUUGAUACUGUUUGACUUGAGUACAGGAGAGGAAAGUGGAAUUCCCGGUGUAGCGGUGAAAUGCGUAGAUAUCGGGAGGAAUACCAGUGGCGAAGGCGGCUUUCUGGACUGUUACUGACACUGAGACACGAAAGCCAGGGGAGCGAACGGGAUUAGAUACCCCGGUAGUCCUGGCUGUAAACGGUGAGCACUAGGUGUGGGAGGUAUCGACCCCUCCCGUGUCGUAGUUAACACAUUAAGUGCUCCGCCUGGGAAGUACGGCCGCAAGGUUGAAACUCAAGAAAUUGACGGGGCCCGCACAAGCGGUGGAGUAUGUGGUUUAAUUCGACGCAACGCGAAGACCUU
rnacentral:rRNA from 1 species